UCUCGAUUUACCGGUCGAUCUUCGUUCCUACCCUCACCUAUGGUCAUGAGCUUUGGGUAAUGACCGAAAGAACAAGAUCACGGGUACAAGCGGCUGAAAUGAGCUUCCUCCGUAGGGUGGCUGGGCUCUCCCUUAGAGAUAGGGUGAGAAGCUCUGCCAUCCGGGAGGAGAGUCGCUGCUCCUCCGCGUUGAGAGGAGCCAGAUGGGGUGGCUUGGGCAUCUAGUCAGGAUGCCCCCUGGACGCCUCCCUGGUGAGGUGUAAACAGCAUGCAACAGCUGCUGGCCAAGAAAGACCUGGAGACCAGAGAUAAGCUGCAAGGAGAAUUAGAAAAAGAGAGAAAUUGGCCCAGGAGGGGAAGGAGAGGGCUGGGGUAUGCUCACUUGGUAAUUAUUUGCAAGUUUUCAGAAACUGAACAUAUUAUUUUAUGUGUUUAAUAGACGAUAGAACGAAAAGCUGAAUUGGCCAACAAUUUACAUCGAAAAUUACUACUUGCGGAGAAGAAAAAAUCAGCAGCUGCAGUUGAGGAAAUUUCCGUCCUCAUGGAAAAGGUGCAGGAUCUCACCCACAUGCUCAAUGUCAGUCUGCACAAAAAUCUGCUUCUGGUGUAGCAUAGUGUGUCUUUGUUUAAAUAGUGAUGUGUGGAUUUUUCUAUCUAAUCUUUGACCGCAAUCUAGGUCAGAAACACAAAGACCCCUGCUGAUUCUGCAAUGAAAGAAGUAAGAAAAAUAAAGCAGGAUAACACAAAGGAGAAAGACUUCGGCAGGGAGGUCGAAAAAGCAAAGACCGACAAGGGGACUCAAAGUUGUUUGAAACCUGUGGCCACUUUCAAAACUGACACUGACACCUAUAAAAAGACAGAUGAGGGCAAAAUUAUUACCCUGAGUUCUUCCAAACCUUGGUCCACCAUCAAAACUGGCACUAAGACCCAAGAAAAGCCAAAAUACACCAGAAAAAGGACCCUUCCUGAUGCCAAAUCUGGUGAAUCUCCAUCAACACAGGUAAAAAAUCACUUCACUUCCCUCAUGUUGAUAUAUUUCAGCUUUGGUAAAUAAGAUGUAUUAGCUCAGACUGUUGGGAACUGGGCUGAGAACGGAGGCUUCUCGCUUUGAGUCCCAGUGUAGACAAAACAUGGAUGGUGUUCUGUAGUAGUAGUAGGUGCUAGAACACCUCCACAGCACUGGCAAGGUACUCUUGAGCAAGGUACCCACAAAUGCUCAGAAAGCUGCCCUGCGGUG
rnacentral:lncRNA from 1 species